rnacentral:rRNA from 1 species
CCAGCAGCCGCGGUAAUUCCAGCUCCAAUAGCGUAUAUUAAAGUUGUUGCAGUUAAAAAGCUCGUAGUUGGAUUUCUGUUAAUAAUUUAUAUAUAAUAUUUUAUUAAUAUUUAUAUAGUAUUAACAUAAUUCAUAUUACUAUAUUUUAUAGUAUAUGAAAUUUUACUUUGAGAAAAUUAGAGUGCUUAAAGCAGGCAUUAGCCUUGAAUACUCCAGCAUGGAAUAAUAUAAAAGAUUUUUAUCUUUUUUAUUGGUUCUAAGAUAAAAAUAAUGAUUAAUAGGGACAGUUGGGGGCAUUUGUAUUUAACAGUCAGAGGUGAAAUUCUUAGAUUUGUUAAAGACAAACUAGUGCGAAAGCAUUUGCCAAGGAUGUUUUCAUUAAUCAAGAACGAAAGUUAGGGGAUCGAAGACGAUCAGAUACCGUCGUAGUCUUAACCAUAAACUAUGCCAACUAGAGAUUGGAGGUUGUUCCUUAC